UCCCUACGGGGGGCAGCAGUGAGGAAUAUUGAUCAAUGGACGAGAGUCUGAACCAGCCAAGUAGCGUGAAGGAUGACUGCCCUAUGGGUUGUAAACUUCUUUUACAUGGGAAUAAAGUUUUCCACGUGUGGAAUUUUGUAUGUACCAUAUGAAUAAGGAUCGGCUAACUCCGUGCCAGCAGCCGCGGUAAUACGGAGGAUCCGAGCGUUAUCCGGAUUUAUUGGGUUUAGAGGGAGCGUAGGUGGAUUGUUAAGUCAGUUGUGAAAGUUUGCGGCUCAACCGUAAAAUUGCAGUUGAAACUGGCA
rnacentral:rRNA from 1 species